rnacentral:rRNA from 1 species
ACUUAAAUUGAAGAGUUUGAUCAUGGCUCAGAUUGAACGCUGGCGGCAGGCCUAACACAUGCAAGUCGAGCGGCAGCGGGAAAGUAGCUUGCUACUUUUGCCGGCGAGCGGCGGACGGGUGAGUAAUGCCUGGGGAUCUGCCCAGUCGAGGGGGAUAACUACUGGAAACGGUAGCUAAUACCGCAUACGCCCUACGGGGGAAAGCAGGGGACCUUCGGGCCUUGCGCGAUUGGAUGAACCCAGGUGGGAUUAGCUAGUUGGUGAGGUAAUGGCUCACCAAGGCGACGAUCCCUAGCUGGUCUGAGAGGAUGAUCAGCCACACUGGAACUGAGACACGGUCCAGACUCCUACGGGAGGCAGCAGUGGGGAAUAUUGCACAAUGGGGGAAACCCUGAUGCAGCCAUGCCGCGUGUGUGAAGAAGGCCUUCGGGUUGUAAAGCACUUUCAGCGAGGA